AAAAAAAGGUGCGUGCUCAAGAGUUAUCUGACUGGGUUGUUGAAGACAGCAAGUCACUACAGAGGAGAAGGAAUUCUCAGAAGAUAAGUGUCUGCCACCCUGUCUCUUUUGUGCUAACUACCAACAGCUGGAGCCCAGGCAGAAGAGAGGCAAGAGAAGCACGUGUCAAGGAAGUAUGUGCUUAAGCAUGAAGGUGAACAGAGCUUUCCAGGGGAAAGGUCAUCUUCUAACCAAACGGGAGAUGUUGAGUUAGAAACUCCUUUUCCUGUUAUUUCAAACAUACCCCAAGCACAGCUCCAGCAGCCACUGAGGGUCGGUUGGGCAUGGAUGGGAGAGGGCUGACCCGACGUCAAUUUGUAGUGUUCCUUCAUUAUCUGCCCAUUCUAAUGGGCGUCUGCUGCACAUCAUGGACGCAAAGUGCGGAGCAUCGGGUGUUCACAGCUUCCCAUUGUGAAGUGAAGGUGUUGGGACCACCUUGUAUUCAGAUGGGCCUACACCACAAGUUUGGGAUCCAGAUUGGGGCUUGGACCUGACGUUCAUCAGAGGGUAAGCAUAUCUGAACCUAGCAUUUGAGGUCAGCCUCUUGUGGAAUUAACAACCUACUGCAAGGUCUGGAUUGAGCCGAUCU